rnacentral:hammerhead_ribozyme from 1 species
AUUCAGCUGACGAGUUCCAAAUGGGACGAAACACGCGUUCUGAAU